GUUUAAGACAAAACAUUGUACUAUUAACAAUAGUAUAUGUAGUACUCAAAUAGAUGUUACUAACGAAUUAAAAACAGAACCAGUCAUAACAAAAGUAGAAGAGAUAGAUAGUAAGAAAUUAUUUCAAAACAAACUAACAAAUCAAGGAUAUACCCAAAAACAAACUACUAUUUUUAGUACACCUUUGAAUCAAGAAGUAGAAAACGAGUCUAAACAUACACAGUUACCUUUCUUAUUUAAGCAACCACACGGAAAAUUAUAUCCCGUUCAACCGGCUGCCUUUCAACCGACAGCCUUUCAACCGGCAACGUUUCAACCGGCAACGUUUCAACCGGCAACGUUUCAACCGACUGUUGUCCAACCAGUAGCUGUCCAACCGGCAACUUUUCAAUCGACUGUUGUCCAACCAGUAGCCGUCCAACCGACUGUUGUCCAAUCAUCAACUUCUAAACUAAAUGAUAGUUUCCUAAGCAAUAACAAACUGAUUAGCAUUAUACCUGGUGAUAUUAAUAAGAAAGGAGUUUUGUUUGAAGACAAAAAUGAAAAACUGCACAACAUUAUACCAAGUAAUAUUAACACACACAUACAUAUCCCUAAUAAAAUAAAAACUUCUAAUUUAAAAUGGAAUGAUGAUUUUUACAAAUUAAAGGAAGAACAAGAAAAGUCAAUGACUGGUAGUUACAUUAGACAUACUGAUUUAUAUGAAGAUAAAAACAUAAUUAUUAAAACGUUACCAAAUAAAUAUAACAAAUUAAUUAGUAAGGGAAUGUUUAAUUUUGAAAAAAUUUUAAAAAGUGAAAAUAUACAAUCUGUUACGACGACAAAGGUUUCAAAAGUUUGUACGCAAAAAAAAAAAUGUUAUUAUGAUAAGAGAUCGAAAAAAAUAGUUUUUUUGGAUGAUCAAGGAAAGGACGACUACAGUUAUGAUUCCUAUGAUAUCUGUGAGAAAUAUAGUGGCAUAAAAAACGAUCGAAAUAAAAAUAAUAAGAAUGGCAAAAAAAGCGACAAGGAAAAGGAUAAGGAAAAGAAUUCCGAAUUUUAUAAUUACUUUAAUUGUGAAGAUGUAAAUUUUUAUAAACAGAAAAAAUUAUCAAAUAAAAAAUGC
rnacentral:lncRNA from 1 species